rnacentral:rRNA from 1 species
UGAUGCAGCGACGCCGCGUGAGGGAUGACGGCCUUCGGGUUGUAAACCUCUUUCAGUAGGGAAGAAGCGAAAGUGACGGUACCUGCAGAAGAAGCACCGGCUAACUACGUGCCAGCAGCCGCGGUAAUACGUAGGGUGCGAGCGUUAUCCGGGAAUUAUUGGGCGUAAAGAGCUCGUAGGCGGUUUGUCGCGUCUGUCGUGAAAGUCCGGGGCUUAACCCCGGGAUCUGCGGUGGGUACGGGCAGACUAGAGUGCAGUAGGGGAGACUGGAAUUCCUGGUGUAGCGGUGGAAUGCGCAGAUAUCAGGAGGAACACCGAUGGCGAAGGCAGGUCUCUGGGCUGUAACUGACGCUGAGGAGCGAAAGCAUGGGGAGCGAACAGGAUUAGAUACCCUGGUAGUCCAUGCCGUAAACGUUGGGCACUAGGUGUGGGGACCAUUCCACGGUUUCCGCGCCGCAGCUAACGCAUUAAGUGCCCCGCCUGGGGAGUACGGCCGCAAGGCUAAAACUCAAAGGAAUUGACGGGGGCCCGCACAAGCGGCGGAGCAUGCGGAUUAAUUCGAUGCAACGCGAAGAACCUUACCAAGGCUUGACAUGUUCUCGAUCGCCGUAGAGAUACGGUUUCCCCUUUGGGGCGGGUUCACAGGUGGUGCAUGGUUGUCGUCAGCUCGUGUCGUGAGAUGUUGGGUUAAGUCCCGCAACGAGCGCAACCCUCGUUCCAUGUUGCCAGCACGUANUGGUGGGGACUCAUGGGAGACUGCCGGGGUCAACUCGGAGGAAGGUGAGGACGACGUCAAAUCAUCAUGCCCCUUAUGUCUUGGGCUUCACGCAUGCUACAAUGGCCGGUACAAUGGGUUGCGAUACUGUGAGGUGGAGCUAAUCCCAAAAAGCCGGUCUCAGUU